rnacentral:lncRNA from 1 species
CAGUGCCGGGGGCGGGGGAGGGGGGCGCGGCGGUGGCCCGCGCGGCGGGCUGUGGGCGGGGCUGAAGGCGGGGCGGCGGCGGGCCCCGCGGCGGGGCGGCGGCGGCGGCGGCGGGUAAACACGGCGGCGGGGCUACGGGGAGCGCGCGCCGCUGGGCCAUGGCGGCUUCUCCCGUGGAGGUGUUCGGGCUGCCGGGCGAGGAGUUGCAGGUACAGGAAGACUAAAAGCUGUAUCCAUCUGAAAGCUGGUUGAUGACCUGUGUGAAAUGUCAGUAAUGUUGUCUUUGAGCCAACAGGAUAUUUACCAAGACUGUCUUUGAUCAGCUCUUUUUGUGUCCAGGCAGUGAUGAUCUCUUGUGUCAAAACACAGUUGUUGUGUCCUUAGCAGGAAUUCACUUUCUGAAUAAAUGAUGAAGUAUUAUUCCUGGUCUGUUACCACAGCUCUCUUUCUCAAGUUGUGCUUCACUUCUGGAGAAGUAACUAUAAAGGUCUCAAAUGCUUUUUUUUUUUUUUUUUCUUCUUCAUCUUAAUAUUUGAAUUGCAUAGGAGUUCUAAUAAAAAAUUAGCACAGCAUGCUGCAAGGGUUGCAUAGCACUUCCCAUUGCAAGAUUCUGUUUUCAGUUGAUAGUAACUUCUUGCGGCAAUCUG